CUGGCGGGGCGCGGGGGUCCCUGUACCUCCUGACCUUCGCGCAGCUAGAAGGGCACGGGAGGUUGGGACCCUCUGUCUACAAAACGAGCUGGGCAUGUCCCCUUCGCCCUCCCAUGGCCAUGCUCCAACCUGGAAAGAAUAACUUUCACAUAAUAGCCACGACAGCGCCUACUCUGUACCAGGUGCCGUCUACUAGUAAGUACUGGAGCACAUAUUCCCCCUCCAGUCUUGCGAGGUGAGUACGAAUGAUGCGAUCGGCAUGUGCCCAAUGGAAAACGGAGGCACAGAGAGGUGAAGCCUCUUGCAUAAGGUCGCCCAGGUGGUGGACUUGGGGUUUGAGCCCUAACCCUAACGCUAAUGUAUUUUCGCUGCAGGCCUCCAAAUAGUGAUACUGUACUUCCCCCAUGUUAACACACACCUGUUCGUUUCACAUUUCUGAAACCAAUAUGUGUUUUCAGUUCCAGUUCCAUUGAUGAGGUGCCCUGGUUUAACUGGCAGCAGUUUUAAUUUCGCAGUGUAUGGAUGUAUCGGCUUCAAUGAGAGGCAGUAAUACCCACGUGCUCUAUGUUUAUGCGUUAACUCAUCUAAUUCUCAGAGCAGCGCCGUGGCAAGAAGAAACGGAGGCUUGGAGGCCAUGUGACUUGCCUGAGGUCACAUACUUGCCCGGCCUGUAAAUUACUGUCCCGGGUUUAUCAGACCCUGAAGCUCUGCUCCAUCCGCCUCCCUGGGCUAUUCUCUGUGACAGGACUGAGGCGGAGGCAUUUGGUGUAGGCAGCUCUGCGGGGACCUGGAUGCCUGCUGCCAGUGGGCAGAGCUGGGUAUGCGGAAACUGGAGAAGGUCACGCGGGGACAAAACCACAGAGGCUGUCCCUUCUCCCAGAAGUUUUCCGGGGAGUUGGGAAGACCGGAAAACACGAUCUUGAAGAUGUAAUAUUCUUCGGGAAGAGAAUCAGUAAGGCCAGAGGGAGGCUCCCAGCUGAGUGCUUCUGAGUUUCAGCUUUACGGUGCUGAUGGUCAAAAGUUCUCCUUGUUUGGAAUGUGUUUUGUAAGUUCUCUUGGUGUGUUUGCUUUUGGUUCACAUCCCUUACACAUUAAGCCCAAAGACUGUCAGAGGGCCCAGAAGUAUCUACCCUCACCCAUCUCCUCUCUUCUGAGCACUUAUUAAAUGCUUUCUGAAGA